rnacentral:rRNA from 1 species
CGCCUGGGGAGUACGGCCGCAAGGUUAAAACUCAAAUGAAUUGACGGGGGCCCGCACAAGCGGUGGAGCAUGUGGUUUAAUUCGACGCAACGCGAAGAGCCUUACCUGGCCUUGACAUGCAGAGAACUUUCCAGAGAUGGAUUGGUGCCUUCGGGAACUCUGACACAGGUGCUGCAUGGCCGUCGUCAGCUCGUGUCGUGAGAUGUUGGGUUAAGUCCCGUAACGAGCGCAACCCCUAUCCCUAGUUGCUAGCAGUUCGGCUGAGAACUCUAGGGAGACUGCCGGUGACAAACCGGAGGAAGGUGGGGAUGACGUCAGGCCAUCAUGGCCCUUACGGCCAGGGCUACACACGUGCUACAAUGGCGCGCGCAGAGGGCUGCAAACCCGCGAGGGGGAGCCAAUCUCACAAAACGCGUCGUAGUCCGGAUCGCAGUCUGCAACUCGACUGCGUGAAGUCGGAAUCGCUAGUAAUCGUGAAUCAGAAUGUCACGGUGAAUACGUUCCCGGGCCUUGUACACACCGCCCGUCACACCAUGGGAGUGGAUUGCACCAGAAGUGGUUAGUCUAACCUUCGGGAGGACGAUCACCACGGUGUGGUUCAUGACUGGGGUGAAGUCGUAACAAGGUAACCGUA